AUGGUUUGGCACAGGCCCUUCUAAGGAGCACUCAAGAGAAGAAGGUAAUGGUGGGAGAGAAGCUGGCAUAAACAGAGAUGCUUUUGGAAAUGAGCCUUCAGCAGGUGUCGAUCUCUGAGUAACACCAUAGUUACUGCUGACUGGGAACUGGCACAAUCCUAAGAACUCCGAAUUUCAUUUAUACCACAGUGGGUUUAUGGUUUAAGGAGCCUAACAGAAUACUGAGCCAGUCAUUCCACAUCUGCUUGGCUCUUCUACAAACCUGUUGCACUGCAAGAGAACAUGAAAAGAAAACAAGUCUGAGAACUGAUCUACGGCGUAUACCACAGCCUCUUUGGAUGGGUAACACGAAUCUGCCUCACGUGGCUCAGAUAUAAAUCACUCUGCAUUGCAGGGGCAUUACGAUUCUUAGUACAAAUGUACGUGUUGGGAAAUUGUUCUGCAAAUGUUACAUGUACGUGUGCAGUAGCUAAUUUGCAAUUCUGAAAACCUUGGCUUGUUUACAUCUUCUCUGAAGUAACACGGGCCCAUGUGAGGAAACAGGCUGCUUUUGCAAAUGAAGUUUGGAGAUGGGAGAAGGAAAAAGUCGUUAGUUGGGCAGUAUUGUAGCACAAAAUGUCCCAACCUGCUAGACUUCUUGUUUAAUUUUCAGAUUAUUUUUAGUACUCGUGUAUUACAGAUGUUUUUGUCUCUGUAGGUGGAGCAGGGAAUUCUCUAAUGUGGAUGGGGGGCUGAGCCCUGGCACCGUGUGGUGCUCAGUGCUGGGCACAGUGAGCUUGUGUUGUCUAGCAGACGCGCAGCUUAGCCAUCUAUGCUCAUCUCUAAAGCCUGACUGCUUCAUCCCAGCUCAAAGAACUUGGACUUCCUGAUUGAUUUGUAGUGGCUAUUGGCUUCAGCUCUAAAGAUCUUUCUUUGAUCCUGGCUCUGUUGGUUGAACUGGGAGUUUUACCAGUCUUUCCACCUGAGAUGUAUGUAGAAAUGACAACCUUUGAGCAGUUCGAAUCAAGCCUUCAGCUUGAAGCCCUGAAUGCUAAGUGUCUUUUUUAUGUUCUCUCCCUUUCUCCUAGAGCUCCUAGGCCAUCUCUCAGGGUAGGCUGUCAAGUGGUAUGAAUUAUUAUUUGACUAUCCAUUUUUUGUGCAGGCACAGUUGAACAUUCUAUCUGGAAAGAAGGAUAGCAUAUGUAAUUAUAAAGAGACGUCUAGAAAAGGAGUUCGAAUUUAAAGAUGCAAGAAAUCAGUGAUUAAUUGAAGAGCUUCUGAAAUAUUUGGAUGAUAUGAUGGGAAGGUAUUAUUAAAAUGCGUUUGUCUAG
rnacentral:lncRNA from 7 species